rnacentral:misc_RNA from 1 species
AUCCCUAACUACUUAUUCUUCCUCAUCCUCCUGUGGUAAGUUAUAAUGGGUUAGCCUUGGUGACAUAAACGUUACCGAAAAAACAGAUUUUAAAUACCUAUGCUUCAUUAUAAAAGGAUGGUAAAAGUGAGGAAGAUGCCAACCACAGAAUUAAAGCAGGAUAGGUGUGUGAAAAAUGUGACAAAGAGUCCUAUGUAGUCACAAAAUACUGGCUAAGUUAAAGGGGAAGUUUUAUCAGACCAUAGUUACACUAGCCUUUGAUGUGCAACGUGUUAGGCAGUGAAGAAACAUGUACACAUAAUUAGCAUAGCAGAAAUAAGAAUGUUAA